UCAUUAAACAUUAACAGUGAGCAGCUGGAUCGCCUGUGGAUAGCACAGGCUUGCAGUCCUGUCACUGCUAGUGGGAGCAAGCUUCGUAAGGAGUGGGAAGAAAACACACCCCGGCAUGUACAACAUAAACCGUCCCAGUGACACACAAAUUCACAGGCUGGCUGCAGCCGCCCUGGAGAUGGGGGUGAGAGAAGGAGCAGUCGUCACCCAUUGCUAUAGCACGUGGCCCUGUCCAAGCACACCUCAAUCCCUCAGGUGAAAAAUAGUAUUGUUCUGUUAGCUGUGCCGGGGUAGAUCUGUCUCUCAAUCUCCAGACCAAACCCUCCGAGUUCAUAACACAGCUGAGCGGGGUUUACCGCAAAACCCCCAUCUCUGUCCCCGGUGCCAGACGGAACUGAACUGAACUCAUCCAGAUUUUGCAAAAGGAACAUAACUGUCCAUGGCCAGCGAUGGCAAGACCUGAUCUCUGGGCACAAGAAUGAAUGCAAACAAAGCCAGCUGUACAAAAUGUACAAGGGAUCCUGAUAACAAGGCGAUCCAUGUCAUCUGGGUAUUUCCUUGAGCAUCCACAGCACAACUCCAAGAUGCAUGAUGAAACCUGAUCAAACUGUGCGGAUUUGUUUGACUUUGUGUUGGAGGUUUAGCAGUUUAUUCAAACAUGGGACGUGGGAGACAGUGACGCAUGUGGCCUGAAACAGAGCCAGGAGUGCCAUGUCUCUGCAAACCAAAGGUCCUGCUGCUCAGUAUCUCUGGGGAUAAAUUAUGUUCACAGUCAUAAAUAAAUCUUCUGCUUUAGCAUCUGAUCAUACUUUGUUUUGCACCGGGAUAAAUCCAAAACUGCCUAACCACAUCAGAAUUAAAAAAAAAAGAAAAAGAGGAGAGAGAGAGAAAGGGACAAAUCUUUCUUUUCCUUCUGCAGUCACCAAGGCAGAAUUCAAUGUUUUCUUCUUAUGCCUAGACUGGAGAGAAAGGGAUAUUUAUCUUUUUGGAUUGCAAAUUUAAUUGAUUUUUGCUUGUCUCUUUGGGAGAAAAGGAGUGCAGUGACUUUUUAAAAUGUCAGGAGACACAUACAGAUGGGCAAAUCCCUUUGUCACCAGGCCAUGAGGCAGACCUGCCGAGUGGCCGCCACCCCUCAAAAUCUCUGGCCUGCUGAGGCUGCUCCAGAAUUUUGAGAUGGGGAAGAAAACCAAGAGGUAAAUAUGCAAGUUUUAGAGGUACCUUGCUGCUCCGACCUAUUGUUCAUCAAACAGCAGCAAAGCAGUUUCAGGAUCUCCUUUGCGUUCACCGAUUAAUUGGCUUCAUGCCCAGCAAGCAGGAGUACAAUCCUCAGGCUCCCUGCGCUCUGCAAUAAGAAACUGCAAUGGAUUUAUUCUGAGGGCCAUGUUUAAACGUUAUUCAUGCCGGAAAGAUGUUAUCAAGGACCCUUGCUUCUGUGUCGCACCACAUCUUCUGGUUCCAGGUGCCCGUGGCAGGCAUGCAAAGGUACAGCCUGGCCAUGCAAUGCCCCUGGGGUCCCCAUCCCCAGGGUGGCCGGGGGCUAAGGCACAGGCGUUGCCCCCUCCCACGCGUGCAGGCAGCUGCGUUCCCGCUCCACUCUACAUCCUCCCAGGCCGCAGCUAAUCACUGCCACUUCAUUACCGGCGGCUGGGGCUUUGCUCAGCCCAGAGGUGAGAGCUACACGGCCUUUGGAGACCGAGAGCUUCAUGCCUCCACGUGCCUCUUGUCUCUUGCCGGCCACAGUAAAAUCAGGGACUCCAUGGCUUGAACUUGCAGUGCUGCAGCCUGCAGCGCUAGGAGCCAUCCACCAAAAGGUAAGGAGCUGGCUGCGGGCUCAGCGCUGCUCUCCAGCGAGUGCUUUCCUGUGGCCCCGGACACCUGGACAAGCUGAGAAUUCCUCAAGAUCCAGCUUAUAACUAGGAGUGGAGCCUGUCGAUGGCUGAAUGGCUGUUGCUACCUCCUCUAGGCUGCGAUGGAGACCGAGCGGCAGAGGGUGCAUUCUGGUCACAGGGGAAGGCAGGCUGGCGUUGUAAAUAAAGAUUAUUUUUAUACAGUGUAUAUAAAACCUAUUCAUUUUAUAUAUAAUAAAACUUUAUAUAAACAUGUA